rnacentral:rRNA from 1 species
GACAGAGGAUGCAAGCGUUGUCCGGAAUCAUUGGGCGUAAAGCGCGUGUAGGCGGCCAGGUAAGUCCGUUCUGAAAGCCCGGGGCUCAACCCCGGGAGGCGGAUGGAUACUGCUUGGCUCGAGUCCGGAAGAGGCGAGUGGAAUUCCCGGUGUAGCGGUGAAAUGCGCAGAUAUCGGGAGGAACACCAAUGGCGAAGGCAGCUCGCUGGGACGUGACUGACGCUGAGACGCGAAAGCGUGGGGAGCAAACAGGG